rnacentral:rRNA from 1 species
AUACGUAGGGAGCAAGCGUUGUCCGGAAUUACUGGGCGUAAAGGGCGUGUAGGCGGCCGAUCAAGUCAGGUGUGAAAUUUCAGGGCUCAACCCUGAGCGUGCACUUGAAACUGGUUGGCUUGAGUGCAGAAGAGGAAAGUGGAAUUCCCAGUGUAGCGGUGAAAUGCGUAGAUAUUGGGAGGAACACCAGUGGCGGAGGCGACUUUCUGGUCUGUAACUGACGCUGAGGCGCGAAAGCUAGGGGAGCGAACAGGAUUAGAUACCCUGGUAGUCCUAGCCGUAAACGAUGGGUACUAGGUGUAGGGGGUUUAGACGCCCUCUGUGCCGCAGUUAACACAUUAAGUACCCCGCCUGGGGAGUACGGCCGCAAGGCUGAAACUCAAAGGAAUUGACGGGG